UCCAUGCACCGCAGUCGAAUUAGAGUCCAGGCAACGCUGUGAAUGGGAGGCCUGGGUGUUGUUGUCCGAACCGAAAGACGAACAAAAAAAAAACCCUAAAACAAUUUUGGAACAAAUAAAACUCACACCUGAGACUCGGAAUGGGCUGCUCCAGUUUAGCAGCUGCUUGCAAAAUGAAUCGUUGUAAAUCAAUUUGUACGAAUUGGUGAACAACAUGAAUACAACAAUUACGACGGCUCAGGGUGGACCGAAGCGUGAAGGCUUUAGUGUGAACAACGAUCCAAAUACCCUUAACGAUUGAAUAAUUAUUGUUGAGUUCUGCACAACACUAGAAAAGGUCCUCUUUAAACGACAUACCCCAUACACAGGUCUUCAAAUGCUACGAGAGUUGGGCAAACGCUUGCAGCGCGUAAAAUUUAAACCCAAUGAAACUUGUCGCAAAUCAGCGUAAAUUUUAAAGCCAUAUCAAAUUAGUUUUAUUUCUACUUAUUUUUGGAACAACUCACACGCUUCAUUUGGUGGAGUUACGAGUAAUCAAGUAACGAGUAAGAUCUAUAAAUAUAUUAAGGGGAGCUCAGAGAUAGAGUGAAAGAUAAAAGUGAAACUGAAGGCUAGCAACAGGCAACACAGCAAAAAAAAAUAAAAAAUAAGAAAGGGGAGGACGAAAAAACAAUUCAACCUUUCGCUGGCUCCCCCUUGCCUAGCUGAGUUCGUCCCCUUUUUCGAUUUUUCGAAACAAAUCAAAGAGAAAUUGCGAACGACAAGUUAAUCUCACUUCAAGCAUAACCGGAAGCCAUUUUAUGACCCAAUGGACAAUGUACAAUGUACAUUGUAUUGAAGGGCAGCAGCUUCUGUUACAGCUGCUCCAGCUCCUGCUCCUCCUGCUGUGCCUUCUGCUACUCCUCCUGCUGCUGCUGUUCCUGCUUUGCCAGCUGCUUACGCGUAUUUACAAUAAAAAGGCGGAAGCGCGGACAUCGGCUGCAUCCGCAGCCACAUUCAACAUCGCAAUCGCACAAAGUAGCAACUUAAGUAAAAAGAAUUUAUGCGCCACAUUUCGACUGUUGCCGCUACUUCUGCUACUCCUGCUACUGCUGUUGCUGCACAAUGAAUUAAAGUUCAAUAAAAUAGCCCACGAAUACGAAAUGUGUGGCGAAAAGUUUUCUAUAGCUCCGCUGUUGCACAGUGGUUUGAAAGUAUGUGAAACGUUGGUUGACGAAAAUUGCAAAUAUAAAUUUGUUUGAUCAAAUUUUUUGCUAAGGGUUCUUAAAAUAAUAAUACAUAAUAUACAUACAGCAGACUCCGCUUAUAGCGUCUGUACGGGUAUAGCCACAAAAAUUCUGGUCCCCAGACAAACUUCUAUGAGUAAACUUAUACGAUUAUAGCGUCUUCCGAGUAUGUCGACGGUCGGUCCAGUGUCGUUAUAACCGUAUUCUACUGUAUUUAAUAUAAAAAUCAAGAAUCAGGAAUUAAAAAAAAAUCAUGAAAAUA